rnacentral:tRNA from 1 species
GGGCUGGUAGCUCAGCAGGUAGAGCAAUGCCCUUUUAAGGCAUGGGUCACAGGUUCGAAUCCUGUCCAGCUCA